AGAGACAGCAGCAGCCACGGUAAAACGGAGGGUGCAAGCGUUAUCCGGAUUUAUUGGGUUUAAAGGGUCCGUAGGCGGACUUAUAAGUCAGUGGUGAAAGCCUGUCGCUUAACGAUAGAACUGCCAUUGAUACUGUAAGUCUUGAGUAUAUUUGAGGUAGCUGGAAUAAGUAGUGUAGCGGUGAAAUGCAUAGAUAUUACUUAGAACACCAAUUGCGAAGGCAGGUUACCAAGAUAUAACUGACGCUGAGGGACGAAAGCGUGGGUAGCGAACAGGAUUAGAUACCCCUGUAGUCCCUGUCUCUUAUAC
rnacentral:rRNA from 1 species